rnacentral:lncRNA from 1 species
UUGCAAUUUUUCCAUUAUAUAUUCUGAUUCUAGUUCUUGAACAUUAUCUAUUUUAUUUAGUUUUAUCAAAAUAGAUAUGCCUAUACCAGACUAUUUUUGAGAAUAUAAUACUUUAUUGUCUGACCAAAUGAAAAUGUGGAAGGUGCAGAAUGAAUUAGUAUCAAAAGUCAAAUAUUUUGAUAAAGACCGCGCCGCAAAGUCCGAGAGAGCGGCUGUCUAUGAGAUCCCUGUUGAAUAUCCUCUGCACAAUAGGAAGUCUUCGUACAUAGGAGUCACAACCAGGACCUUGUUCAGAGGGUUGAUGAGCACAAAAAAGACCUUAAAGCAGGCACACUAACAACUGUGUUAGCGUGAGAAGCUUACAGCAAUGACAUCCGUGUCAACUGGAAUCAGAGAU